AUGUUCCAGAUUCCUUACCCCCAGAUCUAAAUACUGGUCUGAGUGGCUGAAAAUGGAGAAGAACUAAAACUGAAGUUGACUUGGAUUCUUUAGGGACAUACAAGUUCAUUUCACGCACAU
rnacentral:snoRNA from 1 species